GCAGUCGUGGGCGAGUGGUUACGGCGAUGGACUAGAAAUCCAUUCGGGUCUCCCCGCACAGGUUCGAAUCCUAUCGACUCCG
rnacentral:tRNA from 2 species